ensembl:lncRNA
GGAAGAUGCUGGAGUGGGUGGCAAAUAUGCAAUGUAGCACUGACUGAAACAAGUCAGACGGAGCCAAAGCCUCCCGUUGUAUAAAGAUCCCAGAGAGUGGAGUUACUUUACAGGCACUUUAGUAAUGAUACUUGUUAGGAGUGAAAUUUAGUUUGGAGAAGGCGCCAUAUCAAGAAAUCCUUGGCAUUAGCCCAGAGUAGAGCUUGUAUUUUCCUUUGGCUUGGGCAUAUUUCCCCCACCCCCUUUGUGUCAGUGCUUCAUCCUUCUUUGGAAGAAAAUAAAGUCUCCGCACAGGCGGCGUUUGAUGCAGGGCUCAUUUGAUCUGGUUGAUUCCGGAAACAGAUGCAUCCUCUUGGUCUCAGCACAAAUUGUUGGGGUUUCUUUUUUCUGGUUUUACCAAAGCCAGAUCUGUGUCUCUAUCAGCACAGAGGAAAAAAGUAAUUACUGAAGUAUUAGUGUGAUUAUUAUUUCCUGAUACGAAUUGCUGCAUUCCUUACUUGUAUCUGGUCCUUUCCCUGGGCUGGAGUUAGGAAAUUGAAAAACAAACUCACCUUGGACAAAGCCUGUAUUGAUUAUCUUUUAAUCUCGUUUGUGUUGGAGAAAGCUUUGAGAGUUUAACGAAAGAGGAAAAACCCUCUCCUUGAAGAAUUCACGUUUUCUCACACCUACAAAAUGGGACGUGAUUUCAAGAGAUUCACAAACCUCUUGAAGCCCCUGAGGACCCUUGAGGAAUCUGUGGACCCUGGUUGAGAACCUCUGGUCUAUACAGUCAAAAAUGAAAUGGGAGAACUGCUUGCUGAAAUUGGACAGUGACAAUUGUCUACUAAUUCUGCAGUACAUUUUGGGAGGUCAGAGUAAACCUGAAUUACAUUCGCCGUGUAGUUGCUCAAGCCUCUGCUAUGGCAUUGAUUCAGUGGGUGGACCUCAGCUUUCCCAAUGCCCACACCUCCAUGCCAACCCAAACAUACGCGAAGGUUCUAGAGAGAGGAGGAAGAGGAGCAGGAAAUCAUUUAAGACUUUUCAUUUUUCAAAGGAACACACUGGCACGGAGGGAAUUCCUGUUGCCACCACAUGCUACUGUUUACCUGUCCUUCACACACCUACAGCAAGCAAGUGACACAGCCUCCUUCAAGGGCCCCACCUUCAGGAAUGUGGCCUUAUUUUACAGGAUGGGAAGAGCAAAGGCAGGUUUAGGAGUGUGACCUUGAGUGAGAAUGGGAGGGGACACUGGCUUCUGUUUCCUGAAAGCCACCAAGGGAAACUAAGUAAUUAUUCAAUCAAUAGAUAUUUUAAAUAAAUGAAUAUGGUUGGGAUUUAAUUGAUUUCAGUUUUGAAUAGGUAAUACAUUCUAAUGGUUCAAAACUCCAAAUUUACAAAAAGGUUUAUGAAAAAUUGUUGCUCCUCCCAAGUAAUCGAGUUCCCCACCCCUGCAGGUAGACAUUUUUUUUUUUAAAGAUUUUAUUUAUUUAUUUCACAGAGAUAGAGACAGCCAGCGAGAGAGGGAACACAAGCAGGGGGAGUGGGAGAGAAAGAAGCAGGCUCAUAGCAGAGGAGCCUGAUGUGGGGCUCGAUCCCAUAACGCCGGGAUCACGCCCUGAGCCGAAGGCAGACGCUUAACCGCUGUGCCACCCAGGUGCCCCUGGUAGACAUAUUUUUUGCACCCUGGUAGAAAUACUGUCUGCAUAAAUGAGCACAUAUGAACACACCCUCCCACCCCAUUUUUUCCCUCUGACCAAUGAUUGCAUACUUUAACACUGUCCUGUACUUUGCUCUUUUCACUGAAGAUUAUAUCCAGGAAAUAUUUCUCUCUCAGUUCACAAAGAGCUUCCUUGUUCUUUCAUAAGUAUGCAUAGUAUCGUCCUUGUGUAACUGUAUUGUAAUUUAUUUAACCACAUGGACAUUUAGGUUCUUCCAGGCUUUUGUUAUUACAAACAGUGGUGUAAUAAACUGUUUUGACAAAUGAGGUUCAGAGCUUCUCUUAGUUCCUUGAAGGAAAAUGGAAGUCAGAUUCACUCUACCAGUUUCAUUUUCCGAGCGGAGGGCAUGUGCAUUUCUAGAUCUAAUGGAUACUACCAUUCAGCCCUCUGAAUUUCUGCAAGCACUUGCGGAGUAACCACUUCAUGCUAACACUGUUGCAAAACACUGGGGAUACUCCUGUGCCAUGACAGACCCUGAUCUUCUGGGGACGAAGUUUGGUUGGGGGCUGAGGGAGGACACCUGCCAACAAGAAGCCAAAUGAAUGAACAAGAGAAUUUCAGAUCGUGAUCAAUGGUAUUAAAAAAAAAUUCAGGGGUGCCUGGGCAGCUCAGUCAGUUAAGCGUCCGCUGACUAUUGAUUUCUGCUUAGGUCAUGAUCUUGGGGUCAUGAGAUUGAGCCCUACGUCAGGCUCUGCCCUCAGCAGGGAGUCUGCUGAAGAGUCUCUCCCUCCCUUCGCCCCUCCCCCACAAUAAAUAAAUAAAUCUUAAAAAAAUUUCAAACUCAGGUGAUGUGAUGGAGCGUGUGCGGAGGCCACCACUUAAAUGGGGACCAGGAAUGGCCUCCCUUGGAGCACUGAGCUGUACUUGGAGGGAUGGUUCCAGACGCGAUAAAAAUAAGCCUCUCAUUUUGAAUUGGUGUGAUUUGUAAAAGCUCUUUCAGACUUUCCCCCGUCAAUUGGUUGGUUGCCUCAGAGCAGGCAAUACUUUUGCAGGGUGGAGGGGUUGGAGAUGUUUUCUUUUUUCCUCUCUCUAUAUUCUGUUUUUGCAAAAGAGAAAAUAAUCUUUAAGUAUCCACUCCACAGGAGGGUGGCCCCUUAUACCGUUGGAAGAGGAGCUGCAGCCUGGGGCCGGAUCCGGGAGGCCUCAGUCUUUGUAACUCAAGCCACCGGGGCUAAGCUUGUCAUCGAGUCCAGGUGGCCCACAGCCUGGUGAUGCUGAGUCUUGUGGAGGGUCCCAGAGUGGUGGCAGCUCAGCUGUGAGGACCCAGGUUGUCCUUCUGUUCUUCAGUCGCCCUUCCUUCAACCUUCUGAUGUGGAUGCUCUCGGAGAUUAGAACACUGAAGCGAAGGAAACGUUGAUGGGUAACCUGGGCAUGGAAAUUGUUCAUCCUUCCUUCAUGUAAGGAUGAUAUUAAACACUUUGAGCCAUCAGUCUGGCCCUGGCCCCCCUGACCUGGCAGAAGCUGGCUGCUGUGCCGAGUGAGUGCUUCCCUCCCAUUUCCUGCCUCUAUGCUCACUUUCCUCUGUCCUUUCCAGCAGCAAUGCAGGCAGUCCUUUGAGUUCCAGCUUGAGUGCCCCUCCUCCGUGAAGUCCUCCCACCCCCCUGACAGCCUGAUUUAAAGCCUUCAGGGCUGGGCAGCCAUUGUCUUUAUUCCCUACAAUGUCCUUGGGGGCAGAAGCCUUGGCACCCAUGCCCACUUCUGUCUCUCCCCUAGAGCCUGGCAUGAUAGAGCCUUGUCCGUAGUAGGCCUUCAACACACACACACACACACACACACACACACACACACACACACACACGUGUUGUCCCGGCAGAGUAAAAGUGCUGCCCUGGUUUGUAAGAUGACACUCUGGCCGUAAAUGGGUGAGCUGGCGAUGCUCAGGAGAUGGCGAUUAGCACAUUGUUGUUACUUGAACUUGUUCUAGCGGGUCUAUUUCCCAUCCAAGUCAGCACUCUCUUGUUUUCUAUUUUGGGUCCUAUUUCACCAGAAUGAUUAAACAAAGGGGAAAUCAUCAAAAACCACAGCAGAGCCUGAUGGGGCGGAGGAAGAGGCAGCAGCGAGCGUGUGGGGUUGAGGGGAGGGUGAUAAAAAUACAGUAAGUGGGUGGGAGUCUGAGAGCCGGGGCGGCCCAGACUGAGGCUGCGGCAAGCCUCGCAUGCAAAACAAGACCAUAUGGCAGAGUCUUCGGGGAAAGAGCUUUAUGAGAAGGGGGGCUGAAUCCAAGUAACUUCACCCUGGGAACUGGUCAACUGUCCUGACUUGGGAGAGAGGGAAGCCAAAAUUGUUCCAGAAUUUUUUUUUUUCCUGGAAAGAAGCAUAAACAGAAAUUCCAGCUGAAGGGC